AACGAACGCUGGCGGCAUGCCUAACACAUGCAAGUCGAACGAGACCUUCGGGUCUAGUGGCGCACGGGUGCGUACCGCGUGGGAACCUGCCCUUAGGUUCGGAAUAACUCCCCGAAAGGGGUGCUAAUACCGGUUAAUGUCUUCGGACCAAAGAUUUAUCGCCUUUGGAUGGGCCCGCGUUGGAUUAGCGAGUUGGUAGGGUAAAAGCCUACCAAGGCGACGAUCCAUAGCUGGUCUGAGAGGAUGAUCAGCCACACUGGGACUGAGACACGGCCCAGACUCCUACGGGAAGCAGCAGUGGGGAAUAUUGGACAAUGGGCGAGAGCCUGAUCCGGCAAUGCCGCGUGAGUGAUGAAGGCCUUAGGGUUGUAAAGCUCUUUUACCCGGGAUGAUAAUGACAGUACCGGGAGAAUAAGCUCCGGCUAACUCCGUG
rnacentral:rRNA from 1 species